AGGACGAACGCUGGCGGCGUGCUUAACACAUGCAAGUCGAACGAGAUCCAUCCGGUGGAAACACCGGAGAAGAUCUAGUGGCGAACGGGUGAGUAACACGUGAGCAACCUGCCCCGAAGACCGGGAUAACAGCGGGAAACCGCUGCUAAUACCGGAUGUCCCCACCGGACCACAUGGCCUGGUGAGGAAAUGGAUUCCGCUUCGGGAGGGGCUCGCGGCCUAUCAGCUUGUUGGUGAGGUAACGGCCCACCAAGGCGACGACGGGUAGCUGGUCUGAGAGGACGAUCAGCCACACUGGGACUGAGACACGGCCCAGACUCCUACGGGAGGCAGCAGUGGGGAAUCUUGCGCAAUGGGCGAAAGCCUGACGCAGCAACGCCGCGUGAGGGAUGAAGGCCUUCGGGUUGUAAACCGUCUUUCAAGCAGGGACGAUAAUGACGGUACCUGCAGAAGAAGCUCCGGCCAACUACGUGCCAGCAGCCGCGGU
rnacentral:rRNA from 1 species